rnacentral:rRNA from 1 species
AUUGAACGCUGGCGGUAGGCUUAACACAUGCAAGUCGAACGUGAAAGCUCUUCGGAGUGAGUAGAGUGGCGGACGGGUGAGUAACGCGUAGGAAUCUACCUAGUAGUGGGGGACAACAUGUGGAAACGCAUGCUAAUACCGCAUACGCCCUAAGGGGGAAAGCGUGGGAUCUUCGGACCACGCGCUAUUAGAUGAGCCUGCGUAAGAUUAGCUUGUUGGUGAGGCAAAGGCCCACCAAGGCGACGAUCUUUAGCUGGUCUGAGAGGAUGAUCAGCCACACUGGGACUGAGACACGGCCCAG